GAGAUAAAUGCUUUUGCUGUACACUCGAUCUAAUUUUUUCUAACAAUAACUUCAUGGGGUAAGAUCACUUGGGUUCACUUCUCACUUCCUUCUGGAAAUAUCAUCAUCUUUACCCUCUGGAUGACCCACUUGCGUAUAUAAUUCAGGGUCUCAACUAAAAUGAAAGAAGAAGAAGACAAGCAAAGGAUAAAAAAGCCGCACUAUCGAUCAUUGGUGGGUUCUAGGAAGAAGAAGCAUCAGAGUAAAUUAAUUCUCUUGUUCAAAAAUGAAAAGAAAAAGAAAAAGGAAAAGGAAAAGCAGUGUAACCGACUGCUAAAUAAAGGUGAAAGUUUGAAAGAAAGAAAAAAAGGAAAAAUAUAGUGUUGCAUGGUUGCUAGGCUUUUUUUGUUUUUCUUACUAGGUAAGAAAUGGAUCUGGUAGUGAUGCUGGUGUCUGGUUGUCCACUCAAUGUUUGCAAUCUGGGUAGCCUUUAUAACUAAAAGGCUGCCAAGUCAAUAUCAAUUGUAGUUUCUGCAUUCUAUUGGAUGCCUCCUUUGGCAAUCAUAUCGAUUUGAACUACAA